rnacentral:rRNA from 1 species
CAGCAGCCGCGGUAAUACGAGGGGGGCAAGCGUCGUUCGGAAUUAUUGGGCGUAAAGGGUGCGUAGGCGGUUUGACAAGUCUUGUGUGAAAUCUCUGGGCUCAACCCAGAGUCUGCACGGGAAACUGUCGGGCUAGAGGAUGGGAGAGGUGAGUGGAAUUUCCGGUGUAGCGGUGAAAUGCGUAGAUAUCGGAAGGAACACCUGUGGCGAAGGCGGCUCACUGGACCAUUUCUGACGCUGAUGCACGAAAGCUAGGGGAGCAAACAGGAUUAGAUACCCCCGUAGUCCCUGUCUUUUAUAC